rnacentral:rRNA from 1 species
AACGAACGCUGGCGGCAUGCCUAACACAUGCAAGUCGAACGAGAUCUUCGGGUCUAGUGGCACACGGGUGCGUAACGCGUGGGAAUCUGCCCUUUGGUUCGGAAUAACAGUUGGAAACGACUGCUAAUACCGGAUGAUGACGAAAGUCCAAAGAUUUAUCGCCAGAGGAUGAGCCCGCGUAGGAUUAGCUAGUUGGUGUGGUAAGGGCGCACCAAGGCGACGAUCCUUAGCUGGUCUGAGAGGAUGAUCAGCCACACUGGGACUGAGACACGGCCCAGGCUCCUACGGGAGGCAGCAGUGGGGAAUAUUGGACAAUGGGCGAAAGCCUGAUCCAGCAAUGCCGCGUGAGUGAUGAAGGCCUUAGGGUUGUAAAGCUCUUUUACCCGGGAUGAUAAUGACAGUACCGGGAGAAUAAGCUCCGGCUAACUCCGUGCCAGCCGCCGCAGUAA